CCUACGGGGGCUGCAGUGGGGAAUAUUGGACAAUGGGCGAAAGCCUGAUCCAGCCAUGCCGCGUGUGUGAAGAAGGCCUUCGGGUUGUAAAGCACUUUCAGUGGGGAAGAAAGCCUUGGGGCUAAUACCCUCGAGGAGGGACAUCACCCACAGAAGAAGCACCGGCUAACUCCGUGCCAGCAGCCGCGGUAAUACGGAGGGUGCGAGCGUUAAUCGGAAUUACUGGGCGUAAAGCGCGCGUAGGCGGUCUGAUAAGCCGGUUGUGAAAGCCCCGGGCUCAACCUGGGAACGGCAUCCGGAACUGUCAGGCUAGAGUGCAGGAGAGGAAGGUAGAAUUCCCGGUGUAGCGGUGAAAUGCGUAGAGAUCGGGAGGAAUACCAGUGGCGAAGGCGGCCUUCUGGACUGACACUGACGCUGAGGUGCGAAAGCGUGGGUAGCAAACAGGAUUAGAUACCCCGGUAGUC
rnacentral:rRNA from 1 species